rnacentral:rRNA from 1 species
AUUGAACGCUGGCGGAAUGCUUUACACAUGCAAGUCGAACGGCAGCACGGGAGCAAUCCUGGUGGCGAGUGGCGAACGGGUGAGUAAUAUAUCGGAACGUGCCCAGUCGUGGGGAUAACGUAGCGAAAGCUACGCUAAUACCGCAUACGAUCUAUGGAUGAAAGCGGGGGAUCGCAAGACCUCGCGCGAUUGGAGCGGCCGAUAUCAGAUUAGGUAGUUGGUGAGGUAAAGGUUCACCAAGCCGACGAUCUGUAGCUGGUCUGAGGGGACGACCAGCCACACUGGGACUGAGACACGGCCCAGACUCCUACGGGAGGCAGCAGUGGGGAAUUUUGGACAAUGGGCGCAAGCCUGAUCCAGCAAUGCCGCGUGCAGGAUGAAGGCCUCGGUUGUAACUGCUUUGUACGGUAACGAAACGGUAGAGCUCUAAUACAGUUUGUCUAAUGACGGUACCGUAAGAAUAAG